CCCUCUUUCCUGAUGAACCCAGUACGGAUGAUAGAGUUUCGACUCGUAUAUCCGAGAGCGCAAAAACCCCAUGUGGAUUACUCCGUUGCCUUCCUUCUGAUCUUACCU
rnacentral:snoRNA from 1 species